CCUACGGGUGGCUGCAGUGGGGAAUUUUGGACAAUGGGCGCAAGCCUGAUCCAGCCAUGCCGCGUGCGGGAAGAAGGCCUUCGGGUUGUAAACCGCUUUUGUCAGGGAAGAAAAGGUUCUGGUUAAUACCUGGGACUCAUGACGGUACCUGAAGAAUAAGCACCGGCUAACUACGUGCCAGCAGCCGCGGUAAUACGUAGGGUGCAAGCGUUAAUCGGAAUUACUGGGCGUAAAGCGUGCGCAGGCGGUUAUGCAAGACAGAGGUGAAAUCCCCG
rnacentral:rRNA from 1 species